rnacentral:rRNA from 1 species
UACAGAGGUCUCAAGCGUUGUUCGGAUUCAUUGGGCGUAAAGGGUGCGUAGGUGGCGCUGUAAGUCGGGUGUGAAAUUUCGGAGCCUAACUCCGAAACUGCAUUCGAUACUGCGGUGCUUGAGGACUGGAGAGGAGACUGGAAUUCAUGGUGUAGCAGUGAAAUGCGUAGAGAUCGGCAGGAACACCCAGGGGGAAACCAGUCGACUGGGCAGCACCUGACGCUGAGGUGCGAGAGCGUGGGGAGCGAACCGG